UGCUUUUAAGUUGUAGUUCUUCGUAUUUGUAUUCCAUUUACUCAACUAUUGAUUGAAUCGUACGACCUCGAUUUAUUUGUUGGAGUGUGCUUUGGAUUCGAGGUUGUUUGAAUCGAUAUGAUUUUUUGUUGAAACAAUAUGAUUUUGAGGUAAGACUUGGUGAACAAGAGCCAUGGAUUUUAGAUUGUCUUGUUCUAGAGAAUGCUGAUCUCAAAUUUUGAACAUUUUUAUUUUAAUCCCAACAACAAACCAGUGUUGAAUCCUUU
rnacentral:lncRNA from 1 species